AGUCAUGAUGGCUAUUCCUCUAGAAAUAGUGAUUGUGAUUAGCGAGGCGCUCGUGUUGCAGCACGGGCGUCUUGCGAA
rnacentral:antisense_RNA from 12 species